rnacentral:rRNA from 1 species
AAUUUCUGACCUGAACUCAAGCGUGAAUACCCGCUGAACUUAAGCAUAUCAGUAAGCGGAGGAAAAGAAACUAACAAGGAUUCCCUUA